GUCCCUGUAGCGCAAGAGAUAGCGCGUUGGACUUUUAAUCCAAAGGUAGUGGGUUCAAAUCCCAUCUGAGAUG